CCACCUGACCGGUGUGUGAAAAACACUGAUCUAGAUGACCAUCUCUGACAGGUGUGUAAAAACACUGAUCUAGAUGACCAUCUCCACCUGACCGGUGUGUGAAAAACACUGAUCUAGAUGACCAUCUCUGACAGGUGUGUAAAAAGACUGAUCUAGAUGACCAUCUCCACCUGACCGGUGUGUGAAAAACACUGAUCUAGAUGACCAUCUCUGACAGGCGUGUGAAAAAAUCAGAACAAGCCGCAAAAUAAAACAAAAUGAUUUAUUGCAAAAUCUGUUUUAGGUGACAUCUCUUCUUCUCCAGGCUUUUUAUACAAUAGUACAGGACAACUUCCAUGAAUAAUCCUGAAAACAUACUAAUACAUGUGUAAAUAUAUUUAGUUUGUAUAUAAAGACAAAACCUCUGAUGCUUCUCACUUCAACAUCAUUUUUACAUGGUUUUAUUUUUGACAAAAAGGAAGACAAUGAAGAGAACAAUAAACAGUAAACAAUAAACAGGGAUACAACAGAACAGUGAUGAUAAAUCAUUUCCAGCAGCAGUUAAAACAUGAUGCCUUUAGAGCAGAAAAGCACAAAAAUGAUUCCAGAUAAAUUAUAAAACGCAUUGUUUUGUUGUUGUUGUUAUACCCCUGUAUAUAUGACCAUGUUUAUGUCCCAACAUUACAAAAGGGGGAUAAAGUGGCAUUUUAAAGAACUAACCAAUUCAACAAACUUUGUAUGCAAAACUUUAAAACGUAAAUUAACUGAAAUCACCACAAUCCUCAAAUUUGUUUCCAAAAAAUAAGUCUUGGGGUUAAAAUGAUUUCCCUAAGCUAGAAAUAUAACAAAAAACACGGUUAUGCUCUUUAAACACCAAAUAAAUAAAACCAGCCCCCUACCGAUACCAAAGAGAACGCUAUUAGCAGCCAACAACCUUUCUCCAAUAAGUGUGUGUGUGUCUUUUCUCCGUGUCCAUUUCACAAAUAAGAAAAAACGCAAUCGAAGCUGACACUGAACACGUUCAAUAUUGCGUCUGAAAUUUGCCACUGUUUCCACAACCAAAGUUCAGAAUUAAGGGGCAUUUGUGUGCGUGUGCGUGAAUAUACAAUCAACAUAAACUACCAUAGAGAAAUGAGAAAUGCGUAGAGGUUUUAUUAAUUUAGAGUUUAAAAAAAAAAAAGAUUAUUAAAUGGGUAGUUUUCAAAUCUCCCCAGCGCUGAAAGUGCGUAUCCAAGCAGGAAGAAUCUCUUCUGAGGCGCAUCGGGCUACCUGUACAACACACACACAAUCAGUUACUACACACAGUUACUACACACACACACAGUUACUACACACACACAGUUACUACACACACACACACAGAGUUACUACACACACACACACACACAGAGUUACUACACACACACACACAGUUACUACACACACACACACACACACACAGUUACUACACACACACACAGUUACUACACACACACACACAGUUACUACACACACACACACAGUUACUACACACACACACACACAGUUACUACAACACACACACACAUACACACACAGUUACUACACACACACACACACACACACACACACACACACACACAGUUACUACACACACACACAGUUACUACACACACAGAGUUACUACACACACAC
ensembl:lncRNA